AGGAACAUGGUAGACGCGCGUGUUUAGGCCUCAUGAUUUGCCAGCUCAAUUAAUGAGCUCAGAUCCAAUGGCUCACGCUUUUUUCUCUUUUUCUAAUUUUUGAUUUUAUUUUCUUUUAUUUCUUUUAGUUCCAUUUUAUUUCUAAAAUUCAUAUCUCUCUCAUUAUUGGUCCAAAAAAUGUGAGACCAAUUUCAUUGUUCUCCUUUUAAUUUCUACUUUCUAAAAAUGAUUUUUAAUAUUUUUU
rnacentral:lncRNA from 1 species